CAGAAAAAUAUUUUACUUAUAAUUUGUACAACUAAAUACCGGAAAAUAGGUAAAAUAUUUUACAGGAAAAUAUUUCAUGUUGAAACAAAACAAAGCCUACGUGUCCAGACAAGGAAAACAUCAUCACUAAUUCACAAAAGAAAAACAAAACCACUUUGAGCGACAUAGGAUUAAUUCCAAUAUUUUGUGUAAAGGAUUAGAAAUUGAAGUUUUGCUAAAUUUUCAUUGUUAUUAUAUCAUUUGAGUUUUGUACAGGUUGUUAAACAACUGUAUUUUUUCCCCUCUUUUAGACGUUUGAAACUCAUGAAUUUUCAUUUAAUUGUUUGGGUACUAUUGAAUCAUGAUUCUUGUUCAAACUAAGAAAAUUCAAUUUUCUUUUGUCUGUCUGGAAAACAAGUUAAGAUGAACAACGGAAGAAAAAUUAGUUACUCCGUUUUCAUGGCCUCCAGUGUUUUAUUUGAAUUGAAAACCUUUCACCUACCUAAUUCCUAAGAGAAAAUGAGGAUAAUAUUGUCAUUACAAAAAAGUAUUAAAAACAUUUAUGACUAGUUUAGAAAAUAGUACUCCCUCCUGAUAUUAUGUGAGUACCCAUAAACAUAAGUCAAAGGCUUAGGUAUAUUUAUUGCAGCUAAACUAUUGUUCCAGAGGCACCUAUUAGCAGGACCGUUACUCAAAAAAGAGGAAGGAACAAAAAGAUUGAGGCAUUAAACCGGUUCAAAAGAAUAGAGACGUG